rnacentral:rRNA from 1 species
AGCGAACGCUGGCGGCAGGCCUAACACAUGCAAGUCGAACGAAGCCUUCGGGCUUAGUGGCGGACGGGUGAGUAACACGUGGGAACGUACCUUUUGGUUCGGAAUAACGCAGAGAAAUUUGCGCUAAUACCGGAUGAGCCCUUCGGGGGAAAGAUUUAUCGCCGAAAGAUCGGCCCGCGUUGGAUUAGGUAGUUGGUGUGGUAAAGGCGCACCAAGCCUACGAUCCAUAACUGGUCUGAGAGGAUGAUCAGCCACACUGGGACUGAGACACGGCCCAGACUCCUACGGGAGGCAGCAGUGGGGAAUCUUGCGCAAUGGGCGAAAGCCUGACGCAGCCAUGCCGCGUGAAUGAUGAAGGUCUUAGGAUUGUAAAAUUCUUUUACCAGGGACGAUAAUGACGGUACCUGGAGAAAAAGCCCCGGCUAACUUCGUGCCAGCAGCCGCGGUAACAC